AUGAAGAAGAAUCGCGGUGAAGACGCGCAGAAUCACAGAAGUGGAGAGACGAGAGAGGACGGUUAUAUGUGGUUUGGCAUAGUGGCAAUGAAGUCCAAUGAUCGAGGAUGUAAGGUUGAGAUAAAGAGGAGGGGAAGGUGGUUAAACGAUGAGAAGCUCCACCGCUGUUAUGUUGAGUUUGUGAGGGGGGAAGAGGAGCGUGUUCAGAGAAGUUGCAUAGUCACAAUUUGA